GAGGCUGUGAAGAACUACCACGUGGAAGUCCUCAUACCCCCUUCCAUCUCCAAAGACGACCCCUAGGGGGAGGUCAGCGUGAAGGAAGUGAAGACCAAGGUCAACAGUACCUUGACCCUGGAGUGUGAGUGCUGGGCUGUGCCCCCACCCACCAUCAGCUGGUACAAGGAUGGCCGGCCCGUGGCCCCCAACGAGCGGCUCCAACUCCUGGGUGAAGGGCGGCUGCUCCAGAUCCGGCCCACACAGGUGGCGGAUUCAGGGCGAUACCUGUGUGUGGCCACCAACGUGGCUGGCGAGGAUGACCAGGACUUCAACGUGCUCA